ensembl:snoRNA
GUUCAUUGGAAAUUACCUCUGGCAUUGGCUUUGAUGGUUGUAUGGGGGAUGAGAUUUGCUUCUCAGAACCACUAGGAGUCUCAGAUCACCACUUGCUAUGCCAGUGUGGGAGUGUGAAAUCCAGGCUCUGACAGCC